rnacentral:lncRNA from 1 species
CACUUAUCCAUAUAAUCCCUCAAUUUAAUUAUAAUGUACCUUUGUUUCCAACCCAGUUCUAUGCUCUCCUAUCUCCUCUGGGAUCUUCAUCCAUGUUUAAAAACAGACAAACAGAAAACUUAUCUCUUGACUUGAGUUUCUGCUUCAAUCUGGAUUUUGACAACUUUUCUUUCUGUCCAUUCUGUUCUGCCACCUUCCACAUGCCCUCCUGCUCCUACGAAGCCUGCCUGAUGCACACUAGAUGAUGCAAAGGACUGUCCCCUGUCUGAUGACAUCCACCUGCCCAUGGCUUCUCCCACAGACAGGAAGAGGUGGACCCGUUACUACGGCAACAAGCAGUGAGGUGAUGACACUACGCUCAGGCUGCCAGCCCUGCAGGUGGGAGUUCUCCCAGUACUUUAGAACUCAGCACUUCGGGC